AACAAAUCUACCGAACCCCAGACAGAAAAGCAUGAAUACAGCUUUUCUGCAGGCAAAAAUAAAGUCUUUUAAAAGGGGGCCAUAGUCCAAAGGCAGCAGGCGAGCAACCAGGCUUCUCCAAUGCAAUGUGGCGAGAUUGGUCUCGUCACAAUCUGAUUUUCUACAUGAGUACAUAUGGAGUCAUUUCUGACCUUACUUCUGCCAUAGUUAUAUUAAGAGUCAC